rnacentral:lncRNA from 1 species
GAAGGGUUGUAAAAAUUGUAUGACGUUUGUGAGUGCUUAUGUAACUAUUAUAAAAAUUCACUCGAACAAUUGGUGCACCAAAAUUUAAGACAACCUUAGCACUUCAUAGACACUUACACUAAUGAUUUAGAGAGUGGAAGGAAUAAUAAGCAAAAGAGUUAAAAAUUCUUCUGCUUAACCCCCCUAUUUAUAUCAAAAACUUAACCCACAUCAACAUCACCACACAUUACACAUUUUAG